rfam:Schistosoma rodhaini strain Burundi genome assembly, scaffold: SROB_scaffold0006144
AUCCAACUGACGAGUCCUAAAUAGGACGAAGGGCACGUCGUGUAU